rnacentral:rRNA from 1 species
UACAGAGGUCUCAAGCGUUGUUCGGAUUCAUUGGGCGUAAAGGGUGCGUAGGCGGCGCGGUAAGUCGGGUGUGAAAUCUCGGGAGCUUAACUCCGAAACUGCAUUCGAUACUGCCGUGCUUGAGGACUGGAGAGGAGACUGGAAUUCCCGGUGUAGUGGUGGAAUGCGUAGAUAAUCGGGAGGAACACCAGUGGCGAAGGCGGUUGCCUGGAGCUUUGCUGACGCUGAUGCGCG